UCCCUGGUAGCUCAGAUGGUAAAGAAUCUGCCUGCAAUGCAGAAGACCCAGGUUUGAUCCCUGGGUCGGGAC
rnacentral:tRNA from 1 species